CAGGUCCUUGGAGAGAAGUUCUCAUUAGUGUUCUGGUUCUGUUGCUUCUGUCUUCCAUUGCUGCUAUCCUCAUCUUGUACAAAAAAGGUUUUAUUAAAUGUAAAGAAUUGCAUGCCAGUGAGAAGGAGACAGAGAACCUACUGAAGAAGAAGGAGGAGGUGGAGACUCUGCAGAAGAAGAAUACAG